rnacentral:rRNA from 1 species
UGCCAGACUCCUACGGGAGGCAGCAGUGAGGAAUAUUGGUCAAUGGGCGCUAGCCUGAACCAGCCAAGUAGCGUGAAGGAUGACUGCCCUAUGGGUUGUAAACUUCUUUUAUAUGGGAAUAAAGUGCAGUAUGUAUACUGCUUUGCAUGUACCUUAUGAAUAAGGAUCGGCUAACUCCGUGCCAGCAGCCGCGGUAAUACGGAGGAUCCGAGCGUUAUCCGGAUUUAUUGGGUUUAAAGGGAGCGUAGGUGGAUUGUUAAGUCAGUUGUGAAAGUUUGCGGCUCAACCGUAAAAUUGCAGUUGAAACUGGCAGUCUUGAGUACAGUAGAGGUGGGCGGAAUUCGUGGUGUAGCGGUGAAAUGCUUAGAUAUCACAAAGAACUCCGAUUGCGAAGGCAGCUCACUGGACUGCAACUGACACUGAGGCUCGAAAGUGUGGGUAUCAAACAGGAUUAGAUACCCGUGUAGA